CUGCAACUGUUUAUUAAAAACACAGCACUGUGCAAACACGAAAGUGGACGUAUACGGUGUGACGCCUGCCCGGUGCCGGAAGGUUAAUUGAUGGGGUCAGCGCAAGCGAAGCUCCUGAUCGAAGCCCCGGUAAACGGCGGCCGUAACUAUAACGGUCCUAAGGUAGCGAAAUUCCUUGUCGGGUAAGUUCCGACCUGCACGAAUGGCGUAAUGAUGGCCAGGCUGUCUCCACCCGAGACUCAGUGAAAUUGAACUCGCUGUGAAGAUGCAGUGUACCCGCGGCAAGACGGAAAGACCCCGUGAACCUUUACUAUAGCUUGACACUGAACAUUGAGCCUUGAUGUGUAGGAUAGGUGGGAGGCUUUGAAGUGUGGACGCCAGUCUGCAUGGAGCCGACCUUGAAAUACCACCCUUUAAUGUUUGAUGUUCUAACGUGGACCCGUAAUCCGGGUUGCGGACAGUGUCUGGUGGGUAGUUUGACUGGGGCGGUCUCCUCCUAAAGAGUAACGGAGGAGCACGAAGGUUGGCUAAUCCUGGUCGGACAUCAGGAGGUUAGUGCAAUGGCAUAAGCCAGCUUGACUGCGAGCGUGACGGCGCGAGCAGGUGCGAAAGCAGGUCAUAGUGAUCCGGUGGUUCUGAAUGGAAGGGCCAUCGCUCAACGGAUAAAAGGUACUCCGGGGAUAACAGGCUGAUACCGCCCAAGAGUUCAUAUCGACGGCGGUGUUUGGCACCUCGAUGUCGGCUCAUCACAUCCUGGGGCUGAAGUAGGUCCCAAGGGUAUGGCUGUUCGCCAUUUAAAGUGGUACGCGAGCUGGGUUUAGAACGUCGUGAGACAGUUCGGUCCCUAUCUGCCGUGGGCGCUGGAGAACUGAGGGGGGCUGCUCCUAGUACGAGAGGACCGGAGUGGACGCAUCACUGGUGUUCGGGUUGUCAUGCCAAUGGCACUGCCCGGUAGCUAAAUGCGGAAGAGAUAAGUGCUGAAAGCAUCUAAGCACGAAACUUGCCCCGAGAUGAGUUCUCCCUGAGACUUUAGGUCUCCUGAAGGAACGUUGAAGACGACGACGUUGAUAGGCCGGGUGUGUAAGCGCAGCGAUGCGUUGAGCUAACCGGUACUAAUGAACCGUGAGGCUUAACCUUACAACGCCGAAG
rnacentral:rRNA from 2 species